ACCAGCGGAUAUAGCACGUUGAACGCACCAGUCCCCAAUGGAUCACUGGAGUUAAGCAACGUUGCGCGUGUUUGGUAUCCAGAUGGGUGACCACCGGGGAAAUCGCCUACUGCUGGCU
rfam:Asian citrus Psyllid, Diaphorina citri - Florida Strain, whole genome shotgun sequence.